rnacentral:rRNA from 1 species
AUUGAACGCUGGCGGCAGGCCUAACACAUGCAAGUCGAGCGGAUGAAGGGAGCUUGCUCCUGGAUUCAGCGGCGGACGGGUGAGUAAUGCCUAGGAAUAUGCCUGGUAGUGGGGGAUAACGUCCGGAAACGGGCGCUAAUAACGCAUACGUCCUGAGGGAGAAAGAGGGGGAUCUUCGGACCUCACGCUAUCAGAUGAGUCUAGGUCGGAUUAGCUAGUUGGUGGGGUAAAGGCCUACCAAGGCGACGAUCCGUAACUGGACUGAGAGGAUGAUCAGUCACACUGGAACUGAGACACGGUCCAGACUCCUACGGGAGGCAGCAGUGGGGAAUAUUGGACAAUGGGCGAAAGCCUGAUCCAGCCAUGCCGCGUGUGUGAAGAAGGCCUUCGGAUUGUAAAGCCCUUUUAGUUGGGAGGAAGGGCAGUAAGUUAAUACCUUGCUGUUUUGACGUUACCAACAGAAUAAGCACCGGCUAACUUCGUG